GGUCAAUGUGAAUGGUAGACAUCAUGCAUGCCACUGCCUGAACUGGCCUAUUAAAAUAUUCAGCACAAUCCUCCCUGCCUGCACAUGCUCUUUACUCACUAACAAGCUGAAUGGAGAGAAAACCAAAACCCGAAACAAAACCCAAGGACUUAGAGAAAGGCAAAGUCACAGAUAGAAAGAUCCCAAGUCCAUAUGCCACCACUUGGAGAAGAGCUUUCCAAGAGAAUUAAGUCACCAGGAAAAUCCAUGGACGUCUGUUGGGCUCCCAACAACGUGAUGCCAUCUGCCAUGCUAUGAUGUACCAUGAGGCCCUCGCCAGAUGCAGCCACCCAGUAUGGAAACUUCUCAGUCUUCAGAGCUGUGAGACAAACCUCAUUAUUAAAAUAGAUUUUCCAGUCCCAGGUACUCUUUUAUAGCAAUAGGAAAUGACCUAAGACAGCUGUUAUGUUUUCCUGUUGUAUCAUCCGUCUUCUAAUUUUCUUUUUGAUAGUUUGGUAAGGAUAAACUGUCUUAAUUUUUUGUAGCUGUAUUUAUCAAUGUGAUUUUUGUAGUCUUUGUGUCACACACAUAAAGGUCUUUCAUACUCUGAAAUUAUAAACUGUUUUCUCCCUCCAUUACUUUUAUGAUUUUAUAUUUUUUACUGUGGACUCUUCAAUUUUCUUGAAUUAGUUUCAGUGACAAAAUGUGAAUCCAUUUUUGUCCAGAUGGCUUCCCCAUUAUCUAAGCACCAUUUAUUGAAUUAUCCAUCUUUUCCCCCACAGAUAUUUGACAUAUAUUAUAUGAUGCCACCUUUAUUAUAUGCUAAUCCCUAAGUAUUUCUACCUAUUUCUGGACUUCCUAGUUUGCUCCAUUUACAUGUCUGUCUGCUAAUGUGCCAACACUGCCUCAUUUUACUGUUAAACAUUUUAAUCAUUUAAAAAUAUCUGUUGUGCUAUUCUUUUAUCAAAAAUACUCUUCUGAAUUUUCCUUUUAAAGUUUUCCAUAUUAAGUUUAAAACUAAUUCCACAGAAAAAUGCCUUGUUAUUUUUAUUGGAAUCAAGUGUUAUUUAUAGAUUAAUUUUGAGAGAAUUUAUUGUUUUAUGAUGUUAGAUUUUCCUAUUCAAAAAUAUGAUAUGCUUUUAUAUUUGUCUAAGACUUCCUUUCUCCACUGGUAGCAUUUGAAUAUUUUCUUCAUACAGAUUUUAUGUGUUUCUUGUUAAGUAUAUUCUUUACUACUUCUCUCUUAAAGAGACUUUUUUUUCUUGAAGAGACUACAUACUACAGCAGUUAAAGCCAUAGCCUGUGGAUUAAGACUCCCUAAAUUUAAAUUAUGGUUCUAAAACUUACUAGCUGUAGAAACACGAACAAGUUAAUUAAAUGCUUUACCUCCAUUUCUUCAUUUGUACUACAAGCCUGUGAAAGCUCUCAGAAGAAUGCCUAGUGCAUAAUAAGAAUUCAUUAUUAACUCAUUGUUGCUAUUGUAGAUGAUUGUUUUUUUCCCAUAAAUCUUCCAACUUUUUAUUAUUUACAUAAACAGAAACUAUUGGUAUCUGGACAUAUUUUGCAUCUAG
rnacentral:lncRNA from 10 species